CUCCACCACCACAAACAGAACCAGUAGCCCCUAUUGCCCAAAUGGUUCCAUCUAGUUCAUCUGGAAGUAAGGUAAAGAUGACUGAGUACCUUAAAUUGGAUGCUCCGAAGUUUAACACAGGAGAUGAUCCAUUUGAGUACCUGAGAUUUGUGAAGAUGAUCACUGAUGAGUUGGGUACAGAUGACAGUAGAGCCAUAGAGAUGGCAGGAUUUACACUGAAGUGUAAGAAGGCUCGAGAAUGGU
rnacentral:lncRNA from 1 species